CUCUUGCUCUUGCUCCUUUGCCUGCUUGCUGCGUGAGACUGAGUAACUGCUAGAUCCUUGGACUUCCAUUCACAGCUGCGACUGAACAAUUGUUGGGAAUUCGGCUGCCGACUGUCAUGCCUUAUCUGUGAUGUUCAAAAUGAAUUCACAGCCAGAUCUUAACUUCCCAUGGCCGACUGUGAGCACCAAGGAUCUUAAAUCACUGACACCACAUUCCUUGAACCUUGACCCUGAAACAUCCUGAAGGGAGGGGCUGGAAUCACACCCAUGGUUUAAUGCUAACCAGGAACAAUGGAGUAGAUGCUGCUAAAAGUGAAGGACCUGCUACAACUUCUGAGAAACUACAAAGUCACAAUCAAGUACCCUAAGCUUGGCCUGGAU
rnacentral:lncRNA from 1 species